AACGAACGCUGGCGGCAUGCCUAACACAUGCAAGUCGAACGAGACCUUCGGGUCUAGUGGCGCACGGGUGCGUAACGCGUGGGAAUCUGCCCUUAGGUACGGAAUAACUCAGGGAAACUUGAGCUAAUACCGUAUAAUGACUUCGGUCCAAAGAUUUAUCGCCUAAGGAUGAGCCCGCGUCGGAUUAGCUAGUUGGUGAGGUAAAAGCUCACCAAGGCGACGAUCCGUAGCNGGUCUGAGAGGAUGAUCAGCCACACUGGGACUGAGACACGGCCCAGACUCCUACGGGAGGCAGCAGUGGGGAAUAUUGGACAAUGGGCGAAAGCCUGAUCCAGCAAUGCCGCGUGAGUGAUGAAGGCCUUAGGGUUGUAAAGCUCUUUUACCCGGGAUGAUAAUGACAGUACCGGGAGAAUAAGCCCCGGCUAACUUCGUGCCAGCAGCCGCGGUAAC
rnacentral:rRNA from 1 species